AUACGGAGGGUGCGAGCGUUAAUGGGAAUUACUGGGCGUAAAGCGUGCGUAGGCGGUUUGUUAAGUCAGAAGUGAAAGCCCUGGGCUCAACCUGGGAACGGCUUUUGAGACUGGCAGACUCGAGUUGAGUAGAGGGGAGUGGAAUUUCCGGUGUAGCGGUGAAAUGCGUAGAGAUCGGAAGGAACACCAGUGGCGAAGGCGACUCCCUGGACUCAAACUGACGCUGAGGUACGAAAGCGUGGGUAGCAAACAGGAUUAGAAACCCUAGUAGUCC
rnacentral:rRNA from 1 species